CAGUAAAAGCUCCAAUAAUACCAAUGUAUCACUGAUCUGCAAGUCUGCAAUGGAGUCUCCUGAUGGUGUGUUGAGGAUUCAGUCAGUGGAUCUUACCUGUGAAGUUUCUGAAGUAACUGAUUCAGUGACGCUGGUCUGGCUCAGGAUGGAGGGGAACAGAGGAGUGCUGGUCAAACAGCAAAAUAUGACUGAGAAAAACACCUUGUUACAUCUCACAGUGAAUCUAUCCAAAUAUGAAUCAGACCCGCUGCACUGGCAGUGUGCAGUUUAUACUGAGAAUACACUCAGAGCUCUGGUCCCUAUAACAAUCAAUUGUAACUCA